CGGCACCUCCGCCGAACCAGCCGCUCGUCUCCCGCAGUCACACCUGACUUCGUCGGUCUAACUAGUCUGAUGGUGUCCCUGUGUUUUUUGUGAUUGGGCUAAUUUAUUUGUUUUCAUGCUAAGUUUUAUUGCUUAUUGAUUUUCCAAGUCAUUCUGAACCGAUGUCAGCUUUUAUCUGCUUGAAGCAAUAGAAAUCGUUCUGCGGAAGAUACACUGUGUAAAAUCUUAUUGCCAGCCAGACUAACAUCUACAAAUAGCGUUAAUUACCGUGAUUAUGAUCCCGUUAGAUGACAAAUUGAGACCCAUUGUCCCUCCAUCGCACCACACAACGCUCACUACAAAGGACUCACACACUCCGGAUGCAGUAGCGUGUGAGUCACAGGCCGAGGAGCGAGCAGCACCCGAGUGUCACCACCACAGACUCCGGGGGUCUGGGUUCCCUGUCGUCCUGUCGCUCGGUCUGAGGAAACACGACAAUCUAUUCAUGCCACGAUCCUGUGCAAAUCGCUCCAGCAUGCUUUUUAAUCACUUCCAAUUACUUCAACCUGAUUUGGAUCAAAAAAAGGGAAACUAACGACAAAUCCAACCACAGCGGGAAGGAUGAAGAGGCCCUUUAUGGGUUGCUUACCACGGAUUCUUGUCAUUUUGUCUUUUUCUAGCACAAGAUGUGAUGACUGUCAAAUGAGAAAUUGUUCUUCAUAACUAUUAAUUUCCAUAUUAGUUUAAGCUCCACACACUCCACAAAGAUCUACUGUCUAACGCUACCCUGGCCCACGCUGGCCGACCAGGGGGAGCGAGCGGUCACGCAGGCAGCGGUGGCAGCAGAACGAGCAGAGCCCACAGGGACAACAGCCCUGUAGCUGGGGACGGGGCAGAGGCCGGGGGGCAGAAGAGGAUGAAUGGAAGAGUUCUACUCUGGCCGGCAGUGGUGCUCUCAAAGGCGGUAACAGGAGGCAGUAGCAAGGAAGACUCGGUGGUUAUUCACUGCUCCACCUCCUUCCUCUGCACAGUUCAGGGCAGGAGCUCGCUUUUCUUCUCACCCAGACGGAGCUCCAGAGCCGGGCUGGCACCGAGCAUCCUGCCGGGGCUGGAAACGCUGAGGCGGCACCGCCGGCCAGGGGAGCGGGAGGAAGGAGGAGGGGAAGCGCUUCUCAAUUUAGAAAGUAAUAAUACAGCUUAAUCGUACCAGCAGCUGGCAGCGCUAUGCGGAGCGAGGUGAGGCCUCAUUAUCGGACUUGGCAGCUGUCUACUCUGCUGAGCGUGUCGACGGAGAAGAGGAGGCUCCUUCCCGCAGACGGGCUGGAGACGGGAGGGCGAGGGACCCGGCGGCGCUGAGAACGGGGAGGGGACGCACGUGUUGCUCCAGAGUAUCAGGUGGGACUUCACUCCAUGUCCAAACAGAUCCAGCUUCUGAAACUACUUAAAAAGCUCUCGAUCAAAGAUGUACAGCGGUGCUGACAGAACACAGAAGAGUUUUCGCUGGGGAAAGCCAUCAUUAAUUAUCAGACUGAUCCAGGUGUAGAAAUAGGAACACAAACAGAAGGCAAGAAGUCAGGGUGAAAAAGCAUCAGGGCCACAGGAGCCUUCUGCCAACACCACUGCCGAGCUGGCCGCGCCAUCUCGUCUCCUCAAGGCCGCCCUUGCCCUCUGCGUUUGCCGCCAGCCUGCCCUGGUGCCUGUCCAUCCGUCCAUCUGCCCACCAGUCCGUCCAUCCAUCCAUCUGUCCAUCCAUCCACCCCUCCCAUUUCUUUUUCUGUAUCUCCCCUUAUCACACUCGCUGCAAUCCCACCACCAUGGGUUUAUCCCAUCCACCCCCAAAAGGGGAUUUUCAUCCUGAGCAAGCUCUUUGCUCCAACACAACAGUAUGAGAACCCAGGGGAUGCAGAUCAGGUUUGCGUUUUCCAGCUGGGCGCUGAGCCGCCACCAGGACCGUUUCCCGGGGCAGGAGGCGAUCGUGUGCUCAGCUCCAAAGGACGUGGGCAGAGGGAGGGAACAGGCAGCUUUUCUGGGGCAUCUUCCUCCUCCUUAAUGUAGAACACAGUGUCAUUAUUUUCAUUUAAUAAAGUGGAACAAACUUAAGAUGCUUAAACGUUGAUUAAAGGCUUUGAUCUCUCAAA